rnacentral:rRNA from 1 species
CCUACGGGAGGCAGCAGUAGGGAAUAUUGCUCAAUGGGGGAAACCCUGAAGCAGCAACGCCGCGUGGAGGAUGAAGGUUUUCGGAGUGUAAACUCCUUUUGUUAGAGAAGAUAAUGACGGUAUCUAACGAAUAAGCACCGGCUAACUCCGUGCCAGCAGCCGCGGUAAUACGGAGGGUGCAAGCGUUACUCGGAAUCACUGGGCGUAAAGAGCGCGUAGGGGGGAUAGCAAGUCAGAUGUGAAAUCCUAUGGCUUAACCAUAGAACUGCAUUUGAAACUGUUAUUCUAGAGUAUGGGAGAGGUAGGUGGAAUUCUUGGUGUUGGGGUAAAAUCCGUAGAGAUCAAGAGGAAUACUCAUUGCGAAGGCGACCUGCUAGAACAUAACUGACGCUGAUGCGCGAAAGCGUGGGGAGCAAACAGGAUUAGAUACCCCUGUAGUC